GAUGAAGAACGUAGCGAAAUGCGAUACGUAAUGUGAAUUGCAGAAUUCAGUGACUCCUCGAGUCUUUGAACGCACAUUGCGCCCCCUGGUAUUCCGGGGGGCAUGCCUGUCCGAGCGUCAUUGCUGCCCUCAAGCACGGCUUGUGUGUUGGGCCUCCGUCCUCCUCCCGGGGGACGGGCCCGAAAGGCAGCGGCGGCACCGCGUCCGGUCCUCGAGCGUAUGGGGCUUCGUCACCCGCUCUUGUAGGCCCGGCCGGCGCUUGCCGACACAUCAAUCUUUUUUCCAGGUUGACCUCGGAUCAGGUAGGGAUACCCGCUGAACUUAAGCAUAUCAAUAAGCGGAGGA
rnacentral:misc_RNA from 1 species